CUGGUUUCCCAUCCCCUGCUUCAGAUGUGAAAACAUGUUCCUUGCAGUCGGAAUGUAAACUCAUCAACUCCAUUAAACUUGAGCACUAUAUCCCAUCAUCCAGAUCAUCAAUGAAGAUGUUCACCAGGAAUUGCUGAUCACUGGCCUCCAGCUGGAUGUUGCACUCCUGAUCACCACCCCAGCCAGGAGAUUUCAACCAGCCUGCUGUCUGCUCAUCCAGCCCAUACUUCAUGGGCUUCUCUGUGAGGGAGCCCUGUCUGUGUCCACUAGUACACACAUUCAUUUUGAUUUUAAAAAAUCAAACAGAAGUGGGAGUUUUAACAGCAGAAUUAUUUUUCAAAGGGAAAUAGAAGGAUAUGGCUUUGAUGGAACGAGUGCCUUCAAGCUCCAUUGGCAGGCACUGUUUGAAAGCUAUUUGGGUGAUUUUUGAUAAGAAAUGAAAGAUGCAACAGCAGGAAGCCAUUCAGCAAUCCCUGACAAGGGAGGUCCACUGUCAAUUGCUGGGAGGGCCCCCACCUGUUUCUUUUAAUGGUGCUCCCAAAUCCCACCUCUUGGGCCUCCCAUCCCAUCCUUUUUGGUCCCCUCAGGCAUCUCCUCCCCAGCAUCUGCUCUGUGUCCUACCCAUGGUCCCCAAAUAUCCUCCUGUUGAUCGUUUCCAAACAUCCUCCCACUGAUCAUUCCCAAAGCUUUUCUUUCCAGACCUUUGCCUUUCACCCAGGCCACUGCCCUGGUACCUCCCAAGUCCAUUCCUUGCCUCACUCUCCACUCCCAACCAGCUCCCAGUGCCCUCGUUUUUGUUCUCCUCCAUCAUCCUCCUCCUGUCCCCACCAAGCCUCUCCCUUGCAGUCCCCACAUCCCUACACUUGAAUUCCUUUCCCCUCCCCUGCAUCCCACACAGGGCCCCUUCAACACCCCAAUCCCAGUCCCGUGGGCUCCCCAGUUCCCCCCAGUUCAGCAUCUUUGGGUCCCCCCCAACCUCCCCCCACCCUCCCUGCAGGCCCUGAAUUCCUCUGGCUCUCCUUGUCUCCAUCCCCACCCUGGGCCCUGCAGGCACAGUGGUUGGAGGUGAAACUGGGGGCAGUGGGAGCGGGGGGACAUCCCAGUGGACAUCCCAGUGACCAGCCAGGGCUCCUGGUCUCUCUCCAGCUGCAUUUAGUGGACGUUGGGAUCCUGAAGACAGCUCAGGCUCCCAAUACAUCCCACUGCACCCAGGGUGUCUCUGAGCCUGUCUUUGUCCCCAGCCCCCUGUGGUUGAGAAGGUGGUGGGUCUUGUUGGUGAGAAACGCGUGGCUGCAUCCCUGGAUGGCUGAGGACUGGUGGUGACACCCGUGCCCUGUCUCCCUCCAGCAGCGUGAGGAGAUGAUCAUCCCUGAAAGAACCCCCUGAUUUCCCUCAGAGCCCAGGGGCAUUUCUCCUGAAUGAUCAAUAAAUCCCUUCAGCAAAGCUA